UCAUGGCCAUCAGGGGGGUACAGCUAGUUCACCAGUAAGGGGCCCGAGCCCCCGCUGCACCCCCGCCCCCCGGAGCCAUCUACUCCGCAUCCUUUUUUUAAAUAAAUCUUCAGCCUGCAGCCCUGUCACCACGCAGGGGCUGCGCUAUGCAGACUGGGAAGAGCAGACAGGAAGCUCCUCCCCCUCUCUCACUCCCCUGUAUACUGGACCUUGUGGAGCAGGCCCGCUGUGUGUAUACAGGCCCGGACACCACCAGUAUGGAAGACUUACCUGCCCAGUGCCCACUGCUCAUGCUGCCCUUUUAAAGAUAUCACGCUCUCUUCUUUACCACACACUGCCACCUGGCAUCAGGGACAGUUACACAUCUAUGCAUACAUAGAGACCAUCGACACAUUGAGGAUUAUUACCACUAUCUGCAGAUUACAUCAACAUUCAACAAUAAAAG